GACGAACGCUGGCGGCGUGCUUAACACAUGCAAGUCGAACGGAAAGGCCCUGCUUUUGUGGGGUGCUCGAGUGGCGAACGGGUGAGUAACACGUGAGUAACCUGCCCUUGACUUUGGGAUAACUUCAGGAAACUGGGGCUAAUACCGGAUAGGAGCUCCUGCUGCAUGGUGGGGGUUGGAAAGUUUCGGCGGUUGGGGAUGGACUCGCGGCUUAUCAGCUUGUUGGUGGGGUAGUGGCUUACCAAGGCUUUGACGGGUAGCCGGCCUGAGAGGGUGACCGGCCACAUUGGGACUAAGAGACGGACCAGACUCCUACGGGAGGCAGCAGUGGGGAAUAUUGCACAAUGGGCGGGAGCCUGAUGCAGCAACGCCGCGUGCGGGAUGACGGCCUUCGGGUUGUAAACCGCUUUCGCCUGUGACGAAGCGUGAGUGACGGUAAUGGGUAAAGAAGCACCGGCUAACUACGUG
rnacentral:rRNA from 1 species